AGGGUGGAGACUUAAUAAAAAAUGGGACCUACUUUCUAAAUCAGCAGAAAGGAUUUCUGAAGGAGAUUGUCUGGCUAAUUUCUACAGUUGAGUUUUGACUGCGAAGUGACUUUGAAGUUCAGCAGGACACAUUUCCUCUGAGAUUAUAAAAGAGAAAGACAGUGGAGGAGGAGGAGGAAGAGGCAGAAGAUAGGGGAAGCAGAGAGGCUCAAACCAGUUACUCCUAGUCUACUAAAUUGCUCAGGAUGUUAUUUUAGGUAAGUUUUGAAGUCAAAGUAAAAGUGAAGUCUGUUCUCAGAACACCGUUGACACCAGUGCAUUUAGUGGAUGGAAAUGAUUAGUUUACCUUAUACUUUCAGCAAAGACACCGCUGGUUCUCAUUCAUCAUGUGCAUCGUAGAUUCUGGCAGUGAUACUAUCAGAUUUUAUUAAUUCAGGAAUUGUUUCUCUAAUAAGGCUAUUUGUGUGAUGACAUGCCCAUGUGACUUCCAACACAUUUGGUGAACUAUUACAAUCUUAAAAGAGUACAUUGGGCAUAUUGAGCUUGAUUAGAAAAAGUGCCACUGAUU